rnacentral:rRNA from 1 species
GAUGAACGCUGGCGGCGUGCCUAAUACAUGCAAGUCGAGCGAAUGGAUUAAGAGCUUGCUCUUAUGAAGUUAGCGGCGGACGGGUGAGUAACACGUGGGUAACCUGCCCAUAAGACUGGGAUAACUCCGGGAAACCGGGGCUAAUACCGGAUAACAUUUUGAACCGCAUGGUUCGAAAUUGAAAGGCGGCUUCGGCUGUCAAUUAUGGAUGGACCCGCGUCGCAUUAGCUAGUUGGUGAGGUAACGGCUCACCAAGGCAACGAUGCGUAGCCGACCUGAGAGGGUGAUCGGCCACACUGGGACUGAGACACGGCCCAAACUCCUACGGGAGGCAGCAGUAGGGAAUCUUCCGCAAUGGACGAAAGUCUGACGGAGCAACGCCGCGUGAGUGAUGAAGGCUUUCGGGUCGUAAAACUCUGUUGUUAGGGAAGAACAAGUGCUAGUUGAAUAAGCUGGCACCUUGACGGUACCUAACCAGAAAGCCACGGCUAACUACGUGCCAGCAGCCGCGGUAA